UACGUAGGGCGCAAGCGUUGUCCGGAAUUAUUGGGCGUAAAGAGCUCGUAGGCGGCCUGUUGCGUCUGCUGUGAAAUCCCGGGGCUUAACCCCGGGUGUGCAGUGGAUACGGGCAGGCUAGAGGCAGGCAGGGGGAGAACGGAAUUCCUGGUGUAGCGGUGAAAUGCGCAGAUAUCAGGAGGAACACCGGUGGCGAAGGCGGUUCUCUGGGCCUGAUCUGACGCUGAGGAGCGAAAGCGUGGGGAGCGAACAGG
rnacentral:rRNA from 1 species